CCCCAAAACUAUUGUAAGUCGCUCUGGAUAAGAGCGUCUGCUAAAUGACGUAAA
rfam:Salmo salar isolate Sally breed double haploid chromosome ssa14, whole genome shotgun sequence.